rnacentral:lncRNA from 1 species
UAGUCCUUCUUUUUCCUCCAAGGAUAUUUUACAAAUAAUUCAGUCUAUUAAAGGAGGUUUGCAGCCUCAGCCUUCUCAGAAUACACAUUCGAGCUACAGAAACUUGGAUUAUAAAAAUAUCUUGCCCGAAUUUAAUCCCACUAACAAAAGCCAGCGCAUGGAUGUUUGGUUGAAGAAGGUCAACGAAUGUGCUUCUGUGUAUGGUUGGGAUGACAAGACUAUUGUACAUUUUGCUAUGCAGAAACUGCAAGGACUGGCUAAAACCUGGUACGAGAGUCUAGAUUCGAUUCUCUACAGCUGGAAUGAGUGGCAGACUAAAUUAAUUAAUGCAUUUCCAUGCGAACAGAAUUUUGGUCAGUCCCUGGAGGAUAUGUUGAACCGUAGGUGUAAGUUUAAUGAGUCAAUUGAAAUCUAUUAUUACGAAAAACUGGCGCUUUUAAACCAAUGUGAAAUAACGGGUAAGAAAGCCGUCGAUUGCAUCAUACACGGCAUUAACGAUAGAACUUUGAGGUCUGGUGCCUUAGCAUUGCGUUGUGUUGAGCCUGAUCAACUUUUAAAAUUCUUGUGUAGCAACAACAAAGAAAGUUUAACUCAACAAAUUUCAAAUAAUAACAGCAACUUGAACUCGACAAAUAACGAUAAACCGAACAAUAAAUUCAACUCUAAUGGGCCUUUAAAUCAGUAUAUAAGAUGCUACAAUUGUAAAGAAAUUGGACAUCCCUAUCAGAAAUGCACAAAGCCCUUAGUCCGGUGUAAUAAAUGCAAUAGGGUAGGUCAAUGUCUUGAAAGUUGUUCAGAAUCAGGAACUACGAAUAAACCCAACAACGUUGUACCAACAACAACUACCGUAGCUAUAGACCAUGGAUUCGUUUAGGGGUUUUAGAGGUUGAUGAUGGAACGGACUCUGUGGAUGAUGCAAACGAUGAUGAAAUAGCGUAAUAUCAGAAUGACUUUUGAGUUUUUAUAUGAAACAAGCUUCCGCCCGCGGCUCACCCGCGUAGAGUUCGGUUAUGUCGCGGUUCCAGGAGAACUCUUUAAAAGUCCGGGAUGAAAGUAUUCUAUGUUCUUUCUCAAGGUCAACUCUAUCUCUGCACCAAAUUUUAUUAGAAUCAGUUCAGUGGUUUAGACGUGAAAACGUAACAGAUAGACAGAGUUACUUUCGCACUUAUAAUAUUAAGUAGGGAUUCAUAUUUUUACGUUAUUUCAUCUUUCUACAAAAUGUUAAAAUGUAUUUUAAUUUUAUUACAACAUGUUAUUCUAUUUUUAUUUAAAUGCACUUUUAUGAUUAACAUACCUACUAGUUUUAACUAUAAUUAGUUAAUCCGGUUUACCGUUACUGUAUUUUAUUUAUCUUGUUCCAGGUCGAGGGCGAAAUGGAGUCGAGCCUCGACCUGUCAAGAUGGUUGAAGUCCUUGAAAAUGGAGUUCGAGGCAAAUAUUUGGUUAUUUAAUAAGUCCUUGAAAGUGGAGUCAAGGCAAGCUUAUGGUUAUUUAAGUCCUUGAAAGUGGAGUCAAGGCAAGCUUAUGGUUAUUUAAGUCCUUGAAAGUGGAGUCAAGGCAAGCUUAUGGUUAUUUAAGUCCUUGAAAGUGGAGUCAAGGCAAGCUUAUGGUUAUUUAAGUCCUUGAAAGUGGAGUCAAGGCAAGCUUAUGGUUAUUUAAGUCCUUGAAAGUGGAGUCAAGGCAAGCUUAUGGUUAUUUAAGUCCUUGAAAGUGGAGUCAAGGCAAGCUUAUGGUUAUUUAAGUCCUUGAAAGUGGAGUCAAGGCAAGCUUAUGGUUAUUUAAGUCCUUGAAAGUGGAGUCAAGGCAAGCUUAUGGUUAUUUAAGUCCUUGAAAGUGGAGUCAAGGCAAGCUUAUGGUUAUUUAAGUCCUUGAAAGUGGAGUCGAGGCAAGCUUAUGGUUAUUUAAGUCCUUGAAAGUGGAGUCGAGGCAAGCUUAUGGUUAUUUAAGUCCUUGAAAGUGGAGUCGAGGCAAGUUAAUGGUUUUAAGGUUUAAGUCCUAGACAAAUAGGUUAUUUAGAUUAUUUCUCGAAAAUGGAGUUCGAGACACCUAGUUAAAUACGGUUAAAACGUAAUAAUUGUAUUAAUAUUGUUUUCAAGUUAUUAUUCUUUUUUAGUUGUAAAUUAAAUGAGUUUUUUUUAUGUAUAAUGAUUUAACAAAUUUAAUAGUUGGUUCAUAGUUCUGUUCAAUAUAGUUUUUUUUUUUAUUAGAAUCUUUUUUUUAUUAGAGUUAGUUUAUACGAACGGUGGUAAUUUUGUGUUUGAGUUAGAUAAUAAUACGAAUUUGUGAAACUUGAGAAUAAAUACAAAUUGUAAACUGAA